AGAUAUCAUUUCAUUCUGCGUCGUCGUUUUGCCACAGUUCGCGCGAGCUCGACGACGAGAUAGAAAGUCAAUACAAUGUCGGUGAGAAAGUUUUUCCGUUGGACCAGCCACAGCUGUCUUAAGAUUUUUAAAAACUGGACGACGUCCGUCCACAAACGCAGACAAAGGAACAAGUACACCAGCUAUGGAUCUGCGGUUUCGCUAUCCAACUACGGCUACAGGGGAAGCAUUUCCACGGAAAUCACAGUUCUGGAAGACACCUUUCUUUGCCCUUGCUGCCAAAGCAAUAACAACGAAGUGAAUGAAAACAGACUCAAUGAGUGCAUCGAAAAAAGAGAGUGCAGUGUAUAAUAACUUCCACUUCUUUUGUACAUAUUCCCUUUUUAUUGUAUAUUACGAUGUUGACUGUGAUAUUAGUAUUAAUAAUUACAUGAAUUUAUUCGA